UAAUAAGUUCACGCAACAGGUGGUUCACACAUGCUGUGAAUCUUAAAAGGGAAGUUUGGUGAAAGUCCAACACGGUCGCGCCACUGUGAUGCAGAGCUGUUUAUCACAAUCCACUGUUUCAUUUGAAAUGGGAAGGAGAUAGACAGCGAUGAAGCUAAGUCAGGAGACCUGCCUGUUGUAUGCACUUACGA
rnacentral:ncRNA from 15 species